CCGCUGCACACAGAGAGAGGGGCGUGAAGCCCAGUGGCCUUGCUGUGAAACAGCAUUUAGCUGAAACCUGGAGAAGGGGCAUAUCUGAGGCUCCCUGAGUGCUGCACAAACAAGUUAUUUGUUAGCAGGGCAAGCAGCAGUGGGGAGGGGAAAUUAAAACCACUGCUAAUUUACUUUUAAUGGACCCUGUGAGCAUCAGCUGUGGAUAGGCCCAAAAUGAAUAUGGAAAAUAGCACAGCCUCUGGGCUCUGACCAGGACCAGGAGUGGAAACACCAUGUGCUCCCGCUCUUCAUCCACUCUUGUGCUGUUUCCAGGAGGCACCAGCAAUCUUUGUAAAAAGCCCAUGCUCGUGAAAUCUCCAGCCCGAGUCUGCAGACUUGAGAGAUCUGAGCAGUUCAGAGAAGCAGCUGAAAUUGUCUGAGCUGCCCAGGAGCUUGGGUCUUUUGAGGGCCCAGGUCUAUCGCUGCAACACUAAGGAGAGGGAGACUGGUGAAUCACCAGCAGUCGUUCCCGCAGCAUUGGAGUUUUCCUUGUGCAUUUGCCAUCCCAGUCCAAGCCUGCGUAGGAUUAUGACAUCUGAUGCAUUCACUGCACAAGCUGGAGGGGCUGCAGACAAUGUUGUCAAAUCCGGAGCAGCCAGCAAUGCAAUAAACCAGAGCUGAGUUCCCUAUUAAAAACACACUCUCAUUCAAUAAACCAUUUCAGCUCAGCAUUUCUUUCUGACCUGCACUCAUCUUUCAGAGAAGAAUCAUACCUUUGGGCCCAGUCUAAUGAUCUCAGCAGCACCAUUUCACAGACAGGAUAGGGAGACCCAGAGAAACUAGGAGACUGGCUCCGGGAGUCCAUGACAGAACUGGGAACAGAGCCCAGAUUUCCUGAGUCUCACUCCAGCACCUCACCCACAAGACCAC